UCGUCCUCAACUGGUGUUAAAUAUCCCAAAUUGGCAAACUAUCAUCUUAGUAAACUUGCUCAGAUCUGGCACACAAAUGUACUGGCUGAGAAGCUAUCUGCAGACAAUGUAACAGCCAAUAGCAUGAAUCCUGGUUAUGUUUAUUCUGGUAUAUGGUAUGCUGACUCCAACCCAAUGAAACAAAUACUUUUGCGAUUUUCUGGUUGGUUAUCCUCAAAGAUUGGUCGAACACAACAGAAUA